rnacentral:lncRNA from 1 species
GAGGGUGGUCGAGUGACAAAAUUUCUUGCACUCGAUAAAUGCCUUCCAGGGCGCAAGUUCUUGCAGGUAUCUAUCAUAUGUUCUGACCAUUUCAUUUAGGUUCUUUCUUUUGGUCUUUGCUGGAAGCUAAUAAAUGAAUUCUGGCUUUCUUUGAUCUUUUAGAUUGUUGAUAUUGAAUCUGAUCCAGGACCUUAUGAGGUUCAGUACGAUGAAGAAUGGCUGGCAAUAACACGGAAAUUGAAUUGUGUCUUUCCUUUGACCCUCCGACGUGGAGACUUUGGGUGUGUGUAUAUAUGACAUUUUUGUUUUGACCAUGCCACUCAUCGCUCUCUCUCUCUUUUGGGUGGGGUGGACUAAUGUUUUAUUUGAAAAUGUGCAAUUUUCUAUUUUUGCAAGUACUAUUUCUUUACAAGAACUAGUGAGCCGACAACUGCUGUUCUAAUAUGUAGGAGAACACAGCUCGACAUGCAAGAUUGUCGUCAAUGGGUUAAGAGCAGGAUGGAAGACAGAGGAGCCAAACCUUGUGAAUUUUCUCAAACAGCUCCACCUCACAAACCCUCUGAUUCAGUUUCAAACACUACUUUUUCUGGUAAAUAAUAUGGUGAUAUUUUGAUGCUUUUCCUUCUUUGAGGUGCUAAAAGUAUCUCCAUUAAUGGUUCUAUCUUUUGGAUUGAAGAAACUCACCAUAUAUGCUUGCAUAUUUAUGCCACUUAUCACUAUCAUGAUUAGGCAUCUCGAUAUUACUGUCACAAUCAUUACAAAACACUAUCCUUCAUUUUUUGUCUUCUUUUAGCUCAAUUAAUUGUUGGUUAGCGAAUGCAUUCUUUUUUAUUUAGAUUUGCAACUAGAAUAAUCAUGACUUUUGCAAUUUGUUUUUGCUCGAUUUCCUUUUUAAUUAUUAAAAUUUUCUCACCUUGUGUAGGUUCUUCCCGUAAUUCUCAGACUCUAUCUUUUUUGGAAUUGCUAGAUCUUCCUUAUGUUCUUGAUAAUGCAUUGGACUCCAGGGAUACUCCUGUUUCAUUGCCUCAAAAGGGUAAAGGGUUUUCUAUUUACCUUGUCCCACUCAGUUUUGAUGCAUUGUCCCUUUAUACGGUACUUAACGGCUUCUAGUUAAUCUUCAUUGUGAUGCAGUCAAACCUAGAGUAUACAUGAUUCUAGGAAUACCUUUUGCUUCUCGUGUUUAAUAUGGUGCUGAUGCUCUCUCGCAUAGUUUAAUGGGAUAGAUAAUUGAUCAUUUGCUUUCAAUCAAGGUAGAACAUUGAAUGUGCCUAAUGUUUUGAGCUUUGUGCAUAUCAUACAUAAUGCUAUAACUUUGCCUCGUACACGUUUAUUGAACUAAAUCCAUUAAAUUUCUUAAGGUGACAUCGUUUUUCCUGUUGGUUCAUUAGAUGAUUACAGCGAAGACAUUCCCAUUGAAGACGAGGAUGAUCUAGAAGAUGCAGAACCGAAUAAUGAAAACUGGUCCUCAUGAAUGUGAAUAAUGUUUUCUAUCAACCAAGAGGUUUAUUAGUGCAGAAAGAUUGAUGGCAAUAUCUUGCAAUUCUGGUUCACAGAUUUUAGUGCUCGGUUCGAUAGUUUUAUUGUCCAGUUUAGCUUUUUUACUUGUUUGAACCGGGCUACCUGCUGUACGUAUUCCAGGCAGGGAUAUCCCAUUCUACGGAUACCCCGGCUGGGAUAUCCUGCAUUACGGGUACACCGAUUUGUGGCUGUUUUGCUUCGGAUCUAUCCCGAUUUGGGUCUUUUAAAAAAAAAUAUUUAUAAAAAAUAAUAUAAAAAAUUAAUACGGAAGGCCGAUGUUUUUUAGAAUUUUAGGUCCAUUUCUCCAAAAAAAAAGAAAGGACACCUUUUAAGGCCUCCUCAUUUCCAAAAAAAGGACCCCACGAUCAUUAAUGGAUUAAAUUUUAUUUUCUAUUCCUUCAAACUAGGCUAGCUAUUUGAUUUUCUUAUUUGUCUUAAUUCGUGAGGGAUAGUGCUUUUUCAAACAAAAUUUUAAGUAAGUUAAGUGUGAAAAACAAUUUAUUUUAAAGGAAAACAAAUUAAUACAAGAGCAUUUAAGUCUUUUAAUAGUUUACAUAAAAGCUUAAAAAAUACUUUAAAAAUCAAUAACAGAAUUUAAAAUCUAAUUAUUAAGGUGCCUCAAUCAAUAUUAAUCUGUCAAUCCUUUUACUUGUAUUAUUCAUGUAACAUUAACUUCGAAAACGUUUAAUGGUUUUUUAAUUUCUCAAAGUUAAAAGUAAAUCUGAAGUUGAAUCCCAAAAUUGAAAUUGAAGGCCUUUUAAAACUUUCUUGUUAGAUGAUUUCUAUGAUAUAAAAUGUAAUCUUUUCAUUAGUAUGUUUUGCAUGCGAAAAUAUGUUCCAUGUCAAAAGAACUAAGCUCUGAAUGUAACAAGAAAUUUUGAAUAAGUAACGGCAAUUUUUAAUGUUUUAGGCCUCGAAUCAUAGGUUUUAAAAUUAUAUUUCAACUUUAAAUUAUUAUUAUUAUUAAAAUCACUAAAUUUUUAAGAGUAUAGAGUUUUGAUAACUUAAAGUAAACCAAAAUGUCAUGAAAAUUUUGAAAUAUAAAAUACAAUUUUUUUUAUUUUAUUUUAAUAUUAUUAUUAGUCAAAUUAUGUUUAUUAUGGUAAACAUAAUAUUAAAUUAAUUUUGAAAAGUUUUUGUUGAAUUUUUAUAUUUAUAUAUUAUAAAAAUUAAGCCAUAGCCUCCGCUGCAAAAGGAGAAGGUAUGUUGCCAUGCAUGGUUGUUUUCUAACAUAACACAGAACCAAAACAAUUUCUAAUAAGGAUAGCCGAGCAAGAUUUGCUAUUGUGUUUGCAAUUGUUGGACAAAAACACAUUAGCGAAUAUGUAAUUAAUUAUAAAUAAACACAUAAAAAAUAAAAUAUAAAUAGAAUGAUAUAUAAUUAAUUUUUCAAAAACAAAAAUCAAACAAAAUUGUAAUAAAAAUUGAAAUAAGAAUAAUAGAGAUUUUACGAAACAUUAAGACCUAUGAAACACAAUAUCCUUAAGAUAGAUUCCGCGGCUCCUACGAUACUUGGAGAAACAUUGAUAGAAUGUCUCCCAAGAUACAACAAUAACAGUAAUUUUGAUAUUUUCUUUACUAGUUUUUUAAUUGAUUGGUAAUACAUAACCUCUGGACUAGCAGUGUCUAUAAUGGUUGUGGUGUACCUUGAAAUAUUAAAUAUUAUAAUUUUUUAAAAUAUUAUGAUGAUAUUUUUUUAUAUAUAAAAUUAAUAAAAAAACAAAUAAUAAGAUUUUUAAAAGAAUGACAAAUCUCAGACUUUUUGUUUUCUUCUUUAUAAAUCUUUUAUCUUUACUUGUUCAUCUCUGUUUUUUAUUUCAGAUAUAUUUAUUCAUCACUUGAAGUAAAGCAAAAGGGAAAGUAGGAGGGUUUUGAUGAGAGUGAAGUCAUUUUGGAAAUACUAUUCGGGUCAGGAGAUUGCCCCAGUUCUCACCAUUUUUAUCGGUGGAAAUCAUGAAGCUUCCAAUUAUUUAUGGGAAUUGUAAGUCAGCCCCCUUUUCUUCAUAUGUUCUAGCUUGGGGAUUUUGAUUCUUUUAUGAAAAGGCCUUGAAUUUUACCUUCUGCAAUUGAAAUGUGUGAACUUUAGGUAUUAUGGGGGAUGGACAGCACCUAAUAUAUACUUCUUGGGGUUUGCUGGGGUUGUGAAGUUUGGCAAUAUCCGUAUCGGUGGACUUUCUGGAAUUUAAAAUGCACCUAAUUAUUGUUUAGGUUGGGGUUGAAGUUCUUUUACUUGUCUAUUUUGUGUUUAUUCUGGAGUUUUUUUGAUGGUGAUUGUUUAUUUACUGCAAGCGAGUGCCAAAUAUGUUAUAUUGAUUCUUAUUUAGGGUGGAGAGUCGAAGCUUUGAAACUUAAAUGAAUUAGCUUUUCCUUGAGCAGGGCACCAUGAAAGGUCAUCUUAUAAUGACAAUACUAUGAGAACUGGCAAAUUGACAGAAACCGAUUGAUAUUCACAAUACUAUAAGGAUAUCAUGUUCGGGAGUAUGAUGUUCACAAGCUCAUGCACUUAGAGGAACCGAUUGAUAUUUUCCUUUCACACGACUGGCCGCUCGGUAUCACUGGGAACUUGCAACAACUUGUUUGCUACAAAAAAAACAAUUCAAAGAUGAGGUAAUUAUAUUCGAUUGGUGAAAAUGCAUAUAUGUGACAGAAUGAAAAUCUUCAUAUCAAGCGUAUUCAGUUUUCUUGUUGACCAUUCCUGGUUGCUUGUUGGUUGAAGCAUAUUUCCUAGAUCCAGCAAGGAACUCUUGGAAGCAAGCCUGCUGAUGGGUGUCGAAUCCACCAAUAUAAACCUACACCUAAUUUUGCAAAUUUAAGCAGUAUAGGGAGUAGGGUUGAUCCCUCAGAGACUGGGUUUACUGCAAAUUGUUGCUCUCUUAACCAGAUUUAUGUCGGGGCAGUUGUCGUGCCCAAGAUAUUAGGAGGAGGAUAAAAUCAAAAACCUGGAACCUGAAAUAAAUAAAUAAAAUGCGUAAAAAGUAGAAGUUGAAAAUGAAAUAAUAAAAAGUAGUUAAAUAAAUUUGAAGAAAAAUUAGUUAGAUUAAGCUGAGCUUUAGGCACGUGUUUUUCCUCGUCUUUGAACCGAUCCUCAAAAUUAGAUGAACACCUCUUUUCCAAUAAGCUAGUUAUAGCUACCAAGGACGCAUUGGACACCAACUCUCCAUUGUGUAAAUUAGUUAUGGAACGUCCAAUAACUAACCCUUACCGAUCGAACAACCACGAAACGUUCGUGAUUUAGAUUUCCGGCAGCUUUGCGUUCUAGAAGAGCCUAGCUCGAACCAAUGCCCUCAACCGCGUGGGACAUUUAAAUCCGGUUACUACUUCCCUUGACGGAACCAAACAACAAUCUCCACUUGGCACGCCAAUGUGUUCACAGAAAAUCAAUUAGAAACGUUCUUUUCGGAAUUCCAACUGUACGUCUAACCACACUAAAUCAAACGACGUCUUUUUUGACUUAAUGUUGGUCUGACUUUGUGAGCUGACAAAAUCAUACUCUUAAUCCGGAGAAAUAAUAAAUACUGGAAUUUAGAAGUUAAUUUGCUCGGGUUCGUAACUCACUGGUUUUGACGAGGCUAAUUUCGACCUAAAGCUGAAAAUGGAUUUAGUUGGCUAAGGUUUGGGACAUGUUGGUAUUGGAUAAAUUAAAUAAGGUAAAAUGGGUGAAAGGAUGGGUGACGUGAUUGAGUAUGAGGGCUGGAAAAAUAUAUUAAAGUGGGGUGGUUGACUAUUGGAAAUGAAAAGGGAAUUUGAAAAUGAAGUUGUAAAUGGUAAGUGGUAACAAGCUGGAAAUUUAGGAAUUGAAAGUAAAAGAAACUAAAGACAAUAAAUAAAUUCAUGAAUAGUUGAAAGUAAAGGUAAAUGGGUGGUUGGCUACUGGAAAUUAAUAGAUUGAAGGAAAAGAAACUAAAGACAACAAAAUGCUACGUGAGAAUUAAAGAAAAGAUUGCUUUCAAAGAUGAGAGCUUGAUUUAUAACUUGAUGAUUAAAAUGAACAAUGUAGCCUCUAAUUAUACUAGUGGCCUUGCUAAAUUAAGAGCCAACUAGUAUAGAAAAUCAAUGAAAAAUAUUCCAUGAUAUAAAAAAUAUCCCAAAAUAAUCUCCCACUAAGUCAACAAUUUCAGCUAAUUAUUCUUGGAAAAAUUCUGCUUUGGCCCUCCUUCUUUGCUUCUUUCUUCAAUCUAGCCCAAUUGUUUCCUUUUUCUUCUAUUUAGCCCUAAAUUGCAUUCCUGCACAAAAUUCAAUAAAUAUGGCAAAAUUAGUGGUGCAUUCUCAUAAAUUAACCAAUUUAAUCACCUGCUGCACAGUUGCUCGAAAAACUCAAACCAUCGUAUUGGUUUUCAGCUCACUUGCACUGCAAAUUCACUGCUCUUGUUGAACAUGAAGAGGGUGGUCGAGUGACAAAAUUUCUUGCACUCGAUAAAUGCCUUCCAGGGCGCAAGUUCUUGCAGGUAUCUAUCAUAUGUUCUGACCAUUUCAUUUAGGUUCUUUCUUUUGGUCUUUGCUGGAAGCUAAUAAAUGAAUUCUGGCUUUCUUUGAUCUUUUAGAUUGUUGAUAUUGAAUCUGAUCCAGGACCUUAUGAGGUUCAGUACGAUGAAGAAUGGCUGGCAAUAACACGGAAAUUGAACAGUGUCUUUCCUUUGACCCUCCGACGUGGAGAUUUUGGGUGUGUGUAUAUAUGACAUUUUUGUUUUGACCAUGCCACUCAUCGCUCUCUCUCUCUCUCUUUCUCUUGGGUGGGGUGGACUAAUGUUUUAUUUGAAAAUGUGCAAUUUUCUAUUUUUGCAAGUACUAUUUCUUUACAAGAACUAGUGAGCCAACAACUGUUGUUCUAAUAUGUAGGAGAACACAGCUCGACAUGCAAGAUUGUUGUCAAUGGGUUAAGAGCAAGAUGGAAGACAGAGGAGCCAAACCUUGUGAAUUUUCUCAAACAGCUCCACCUCACAAACCCUUUGAUUCAGUUUCAAACACUACUUUUUUC